GUAGGUGAACCUGCGGAAGGAUCAUUACCAAUUUUUUAAUCUAAAAAAAUUAUACUCUCAACCCAUGUGCACAAUGAUGUUGUCUUGUUUUUGGGGUGACCUUGUAUAGUGCUCGUCUUUUCGAGCAAUGUUAUUAUGUGUUCACCCCAAACAUUUUGUUGAACCCUUUUUUAUUUUUGUUGGCAUCUUGUCUUGAUUUUUAAUAAUAAAGGACAACUUUUAACGGUGGAUCUCUUGGCUCGU
rnacentral:misc_RNA from 1 species